CCUCCUAUUUCAUUUGUAUGUGACCAGGAGACUAAAACAUGCAUUAUGCUCCCAACAGGCUAAAUCUCUUCUGGGAUCCACUGAAUGCCACUAGAGGGUCUGCUCGAGAGAAUUCCUGAUUGAAUGACAACGGCGCUAAGAACAAAAUCAAAGUUCUCCUCUGGACUCUUCCAAAACAUUUAGACAUUUACUGGCUUCCAAAAGAAGGAACUCAUGGUGAUAUUGACCAUUUUUAAAGAAAAUAAAAGCAUGAAGCCGAGCAUGGUAGUACACACUUGGAAUCCCACAUAUUUGGAAGACUGAGGCUAGAAGAUUGCUUGAGGCCAGAAGUUCGAGACCAGCCUGAGCAACAUGGCAAGACCCCAUCUUUAAAAAAAAAAAA
rnacentral:lncRNA from 1 species